rnacentral:tRNA from 1 species
GGGGAUAUAGCUUAGUGGUAGUGCACUUGCUUAGUAUGCACAAGGCCCAGGUUCAAUUCCCAGUAUCUCAA